AUCCCAUGAUGAGGACAGGCCGCCAUGUAUUCCUGAAGUCGUUCCCACGCCUCAGGAAUGGACUUAUCCCUCGUCUGCUGGAAACAUGAGAUUCUCCCACGAAGGGC
rfam:Oryza sativa Japonica Group DNA, chromosome 8, cultivar: Nipponbare, complete sequence.